rnacentral:rRNA from 1 species
UACAGAGGGUGCAAGCGUUGUUCGGAAUUACUGGGCGUAAAGGGCGCGUAGGCGGCCUUCUAAGUCGAACGUGAAAUCCCUGGGCUCAACCCAGGAACUGCGUCCGAUACUGGAAGGCUUGAAUCCGGGAGAGGGAUGCGGAAUUCCAGGUGUAGCGGUGAAAUGCGUAGAUAUCUGGAGGAACACCGGUGGCGAAGGCGGCAUCCUGGACCGGCAUUGACGCUGAGGAGCGAAAGCCAGGGGAGCAAACGGG